CACGUAGGGCGCAAGCGUUGUCCGGAAUUAUUGGGCGUAAAGAGCUCGUAGGCGGUCUGUUGCGUCUGCUGUGAAAACUCGGGGCUUAACCCCGAGCCUGCAGUGGGUACGGGCAGACUAGAGUGCGGUAGGGGAGACUGGAAUUCCUGGUGUAGCGGUGAAAUGCGCAGAUAUCAGGAGGAACACCGGUGGCGAAGGCGGGUCUCUGGGCCGUAACUGACGCUGAGGAGCGAAAGCGUGGGGAGCGAACAGG
rnacentral:rRNA from 1 species